UACGGAGGGGGCUAGCGUUGUUCGGAAUCACUGGGCGUAAAGGGCGCGUAGGCGGCCCGCUAAGUCGAACGUGAAAUCCCCGAGCUCAACUCGGGAACUGCGUCCGAUACUGGCGGGCUUGAAUCCGGGAGAGGGAUGCGGAAUUCCAGGUGUAGCGGUGAAAUGCGUAGAUAUCUGGAGGAACACCGGUGGCGAAGGCGGCAUCCUGGACCGGCAUUGACGCUGAGGCGCGAAAGCGUGGGGAGCAAACAGG
rnacentral:rRNA from 1 species